rnacentral:lncRNA from 1 species
UUAAGUGAAGCACGACUGUAUUAUUUUUGUAUAAUACGUUACAUAACAAAUUACUACAAACUUACUAGGUUAAUGGAAUGCUUCUUUAUGACCUCACAGGCCAGAAAUCUAGGCGUGGCUUAGCUGGAUUCUCUGGUCAGAGUCUCAAAAGACCACAGUCAAUAUGCAGAGUGGGUUGGGUUCUCAUGGGGAGAUUUGACCAGGGAAGCAGAUUCUGCCCUGCCUGGGUGGUUGUUGGCAGCAUUCAGUCCCUCACCUCUUCAAAAUCCACAAGGAGAGAGAGAGAGGCUGGAGUACAUUUUAAAUGGGUUGGGAGAAGAGUCAUUAAACAAGAAGAGGAGUGCCAGUAG